GUAAGUUGCUUAACUUCUCUGGCCCUCAGUUUCCUCAUUUGUAAGACUGUUGCUGUUGUCACUGUCAUUCUUGCUGCUGCCAGCCUUUGCGCGGGCACCUGAAAGAAGCCCUGGGGAAAACUGUUUCUCAGAAAGUGAACAGAAUCUCCCCUGGACCUCCGUCGUCUCAUUGAUGAGACAAAUCCUGAUCCAGGAAAACUUCCGCCUUUUUCUGAUGGUGAAUUUCAUCCAAGCCUUCCAUUGACCUUUCUUCAGUAACUUCAUGGUGAUCUUCGCAGAUAAUCUUGUUCCCGAGGGUGUUCUUCCUUCUUCCAUAAGGAGCAUCGAAGACAGGGCAGGCUGUAUAUGCCCACAGUUAUGUGAUGAUUCUUCGUGUAUCUUCCUACAAGGAUUAAAGAUUUAACUCUUACCUGGCUGAGGAAAUUAAAAACCUGAUUGUAUCAGUAGUUUGAAAAAAUGACACGCAUUUAUUAAGAAAUCCAAAGAUUCAUAGCCUCAGACAUUAUACAAGAUUCAGUAGAAACAUAAUGGAUACAAGAGAUGAAAGGAAAAAGAGGAAGGAGAGGCCAAUGAGGGCUGAACGAUGUGAU
rnacentral:lncRNA from 1 species